CCUACGGGUGGCUGCAGUAAGGAAUAUUGGUCAAUGGACGCAAGUCUGAACCAGCCAUGCCGCGUGCAGGAAGACGGCCCUAUGGGUUGUAAACUGCUUUUGUACGGGAAGAACUACAUUUACGUGUAAAUGUUUGACGGUACCGUAAGAAUAAGGAUCGGCUAACUCCGUGCCAGCAGCCGCGGUAAUACGGAGGAUCCGAGCGUUAUCCGGAUUUAUUGGGUUUAAAGGGUGCGCAGGCGGGUAUAUAAGUCAGAGGUGAAAUUCCACGGCUCAACUGUGGGACUGCCUUUGAUACUGCAUAUCUAGAGUAUAUUUGGAGUGGGCGGAAUGUAGCAUGUAGCGGUGAAAUGCUUAGAUAUGCUACAGAACACCGAUCGUGAAGACAGCUCACUAAACUAUAACUGACGCUCAGGCACGAAAGCGUGGGGAGCAAACAGGAUUAGAUACCCUGGUAGUC
rnacentral:rRNA from 1 species